GACGCGGUGGCCUAAUGGUUAGCGCGUUGGACUCUGGAUCGAGCGGUCCUGGUUCGAGCGCUUGGUCGGUGUCA
rnacentral:tRNA from 1 species